rnacentral:lncRNA from 1 species
AUGCGAACGUGUCAAGGAGAGGUCAAGCAUAGGAGGAUAACGGGUCAAGAUAAGGCAAGGUGACAAAUACACUUAUUGGAGUACUCGAGGUAUGGGAUCGUUGGCUUCAUGAAGAAAUGGAGCUGGAUUUGGAUAAGAGUAUUUAAGAAAGCGCUUGGACAAUUCCACGACUACUUUAUAGAAUGCUCUACGAAAUUUUAUUAU